rnacentral:snRNA from 1 species
AUCGCUUCUUGGCCUUUUGGCUAAGAUCAAGUGUAGUAUCUGUUCUUAUCAGUGAAUUUCUUAGAAAUUCAAAAUUUACUAAGUUGAUGUUGAUAUGCUUAUGUUAAUAUCUUAAACUCUUAAGAUUACCAGGAUUUAUGUCUCUUUAACUGAUUUUUAUUCCUCAGUAGGGUCUAUGAAUUUUCAGAGAUCCCUUCAGCUUCU